AGAGUUUGAUCCUGGCUCAGAUUGAACGCUGGCUGCAUGCUUUCACAUGCAAGUCGAACGGCAGCACGGAGAGCUUGCUCUCUGGUGGCGAGUGGCGAACGGGUGAGUAAUACAUCGGAACGUGCCCAGUAAUGGGGGAUAGCCCGGGGAAACUCGGAUUAAUACCGCAUACGCCCUAAGGGGGAAAGUGGGGGAUCUUCGGACCUCACGUUAUUGGAGCGGCCGAUGCCUGAUUAGCUAGUUGGUAGGGUAAAGGCCUACCAAGGCUACGAUCAGUAGCUGGUCUGAGAGGACGACCACCCACACUGGGACUGAGACACGGCCCAAACUCCUACGGGAGGCAGCAGUGGGGAAUUUUGGACAAUGGGGGAAACCCUGAUCCAGCAAUGCAGCGUGUGCGAAGAAGGCCUUCGGGUUGUAAAGCACUUUUGUUUGGAAAGAAAUCGGACUGGUUAAUACCUGGUUCGGAUGACGGUACCAAUCGAAUAAGCACCGGCUAACUACGUGCCAGCAGCCGCGGUAAUACGUAGGGUGCGAGCGUUAAUCGGAAUUACUGGGCGUAAAGCGUGCGUAGGCGGCUAUGUAAGACAGAUGUGAAAUCCCCGAGCUCAACUUGGGAAUUGCAUUUGUGACUGCAUGGCUAGAGUGCGUCAGAGGGGGGUGGAAUUCCACGUGUAGCAGUGA
rnacentral:rRNA from 1 species